UCCGAGUUGACCCCGGCAGUCUCCUGCGAGUCCCCGCCAUUACGCGCUGGCAACAUAGGACAAGGGUUGCGCUCGUUGCGGGACUUAACCCAACAUCUCACGACACGAGCUGACGACAGCCACGCACCACCUGUCACCGACCCCCGAAGGGACCCCCCAUCUCUGGAUGCGUCCUGUGCAUGUCAAACCCAGGUAAGGUUCUUCGCGUUGCAUCGAAUUAAUCCACAUGCUCCGCCGCUUGUGCGGGCCCCCGUCAAUUCCUUUGAGUUUUAGCCUUGCGGCCGUACUCCCCAGGCGGGGCGCUUAAUGCGUUAGCUACGGCACGGAAAACAAAAAAGCUCCCCACACCUAGCGCCCAACGUUUACAGCGUGGACUAC
rnacentral:misc_RNA from 1 species